UUCUAUGGUCUUAUCACCCUGAACACGCCCAGUCUCGGCUGAUCUUGGAAGCUGAGCAGGGUUUGGCCUGGUUGGCACUUAGAUGGGAGACUCUGAAGUUGGGUGGACAUAUUGG
rnacentral:rRNA from 1 species